rnacentral:rRNA from 1 species
UACGUAGGGUGCGAGCGUUGUCCGGAAUUACUGGGCGUAAAGAGCUCGUAGGUGGUUUGUCGCGUUGUCCGUGAAAACUCACAACUCAAUUGUGGGCGUGCGGGCGAUACGGGCAGACUGGAGUACUGCAGGGGAGACUGGAAUUCCUGGUGUAGCGGUGGAAUGCGCAGAUAUCAGGAAGAACACCCGUGGCGAAGGCGGCUCUCUGGGACGGUACUGACGCUGAGACGCGAAAGCGUGGGGAGCGAACAGG